AGAGGGAGAGAGAAUGAAAGAGAUAGAUAAGGAGUGGAAAGAGGGAGGACGUAGGUGUAUGUAGGUAAUAUUUAUGCGCGAAGACGUGUAUAUGCACAAUGUGCAUCGCGAUGCAUAGAAUAUUACUAUUUAUUAUAGUGGCCCGGCAUCACCUACGAGGACGAGAUGCCGUUAGGCGACAUAGACACCAGUGACACACAUUUUCGUCCUAUCCUCCUCUCGUAGUCGAAUGCUGCAUAUCGCGUUGAGCUAGCUUUCGAACUGGUUCGCUUGAGACUGGCGUGAAACACGAUUUGCCUUUACUUUGGAUUUAUAUCCGUUAUAAUAACGUGGGUGUUAGCGCUCUCUCUCUCUCUCUCUCUCUUUCUCUCUCUCUUUCUCUCUCUCUUUCUUUUUUCUUUCUAUUUUUUUUAUUAUUCUCAAAAGGAUCAUCCUCGUCCUCUCAGAGUGUCACGAUGAUCCUUUCUCAAUGAUCCUCCUCGUUCGCGUUGUAACACGUGCUCGAUGAAGUCACGACGACGAAACCCUCCACUUCCUCUCCUUUCUCCUUCUCCUCUUCUUCGUCCUCACCUCUUAUUAUUUUAUCUCUCGUCUUCUCCUAACUGCCAGUCUACGGAAAGUCUUCCAGCGAGAAGAAGAAGAAGAAGAAGAAAAUAGUAGCACGAUCAUGAGGUAGUAGAUACCUACGAACGGCGACAUAACGGUCUGCAUACGUGAGCAUAAAAUAUCCUAACAUUAUCGCCCGAGUUCCAACGUAACAUGGCAAAUCUCGUUAUGUAAUCACGAAUGAACGAACGAACGAACGAACGAACGAACGAACGAACGAACGAACGAACAUACGAACGUACGAACAUACGUGGUCGUAUAGUGUGUAACUGUUUCGUACGGUUCGCUGAACCGCGAUAAUAUUAUCUAAAAUAACAGAACAAGAGAGCCUUCGUGUAGAGUAAUGUACUUCAGAUGAAAAUGUAAAGAAACAACAGAAGGAAAAAAAGAUAAGAAAAGAACAUCACGAUGAUAUUCAGAUAAGUUAUAUGAGUAACUUAAUAUCAGUCGAUAUCACAUGCAUCGUAUAUAAAAGCGUUAUUGGUAGAGGACACAGACUUGUUACACUGAAGAGGAGGAUCUAAUUAUAAUGCCGUCGAUCGAUGGUUUUCUACCUUCGAAGACCGGAGGAACUUCCUGACGGAAGAAGAGCAGAUACAUUUACUAAGAUAUACUUCGUACCGUAGAUCUAUCGAUCGAUUUUAUUUAAGAAAAUGAUUUUAAAUCGAGUUUACGCGGAAGUACAUCAAAUGAGUUAUGUAUAUCUCUUGGGAAGAAGCAAGCAACCGCACUGUGAAUAUUAAGAAUAACGAGAAGAAGAAAGGAAAAAGAUAAAAUGAUUACAUAUCGUCUACACGUGUCCAAUAAUCAUCUCGAUUUCUCCGAGAUACGAUGAUCUCGAUUCGAAAAAAAGAAAAAUUAAAAAAAAUGAAAAAGGAAAAUAAAAAGAUUCAGAAGAAGGAAGAAGAAGGAAGAAAGGAAGAAGAAAGAAGGAGAAAAAGAAAGAAGAAGAGGAGAGUAUGAUCGUGAAUAUUUAUGUCCGAACGUCAAUUACGUUUUAAUGGCGAUAGCUUGCGAGUAGAGUAACAGGGGUAGAGCAAUUGCACGAUUUUAUUUGAAUAAUUCGUCGGUGAGGAGUUAAUGUGAAUGUUCGGUCCAUCGUUCGGAUGCUGGAAUGCGGUGAUCGAGUCGAGCGAGAUGUUACACCGUGCCUUCUAUCCGUCUACGUAUCAAAGACACGUCUGUGCGUCGCAAGCACGCAAGCCUUCUCUAUCUCUCUCUCUCUCUCUCUCUCUCUCUCUCUCUCUCUCUCUCUCUCUCUCUCUCUCUCUCACUUUCUAUCUAUCUCUCUAUCUAUCUCCUUUUCUUUCUUUCUUUCUUUCUUUUUCUCUUACUCUCUUUCGUUCUACGAUCGCACAAGCUCUUUACAACUCUUGGAGCACUUACAUCGUUUCUUCUUCGCGUUCGAGCUUGUUGACAGAACGUGAUUUAGAAGAGCUAAUGGCGCGCUCCUGCAGCUUCGAGUAUGCUGCCUAGCACCGUUAUUUGUAUAGUCAGGGAGAUCUAAGUGUAAGAAUCGAUGUAAGCCGAAAGAAAACUUCGAUAGACGUACAAGAAAUUUCUCCAUGUACAAAUAGAAAAGAAAGCAGAAAAGGCUAAACGCUAUUAACUGUAUCCAGUUAGAACGAUCAUGUAUUACUAUUAAAAAUUCAUGAACUUAAUUCGUAUUUUGUUCGUUCAUAAUUAAUCGACAUUUGUGUGAACAAUAAACUCUAUAUGACCAAAAGUGAUACAAACAACUGUAUAUAUUAAUACUUCUAUUAUUUUUUUAACUUAAAACAUAUGUAUUUCAUAAUAUUUCAUGAUUCAUUUCAUGUAGAUAUAUUUUUUAGAGUUCAAGGACAAUUUUUCUAUCCUAUAAUAGCAGUUUUUUCACUAUACUAUUGAAAUCUACGUAUAGCAUAUUAAUAAACGACUUAGAAGUGCUCAGUCGAAUUUGCAUAUAUGCGAAUAUAAACGUACAAUUAGCCUAAACAUACACAUAAUCCGCGUAAUUAUGGUAAUUAUUGGAUAAAUAGCGAUCCUUCAUAGCAAGGGAAAAGAAGGAGAGAGAGAGAGAGAAAGAGAGAGAAAGAGAGAGAGAGAGAGAGAGAGAGAGAGAGAGAGAGAGAGAGAGAGAGAGAGAGAGAAAGAGAGAAAGAGAG